AGUGAACGCUGGCGGUAGGCCUAACACAUGCAAGUCGAACGGCAGCACAGUAAGAGCUUGCUCUUACGGGUGGCGAGUGGCGGACGGGUGAGGAAUACAUCGGAAUCUACUUUUUCGUGGGGGAUAACGUAGGGAAACUUACGCUAAUACCGCAUACGACCUACGGGUGAAAGCAGGGGAUCUUCGGACCUUGCGCGAUUGAAUGAGCCGAUGUCGGAUUAGCUAGUUGGCGGGGUAAAGGCCCACCAAGGCGACGAUCCGUAGCUGGUCUGAGAGGAUGAUCAGCCACACUGGAACUGAGACGCGGUCCAGACUCCUACGGGAGGCAGCAGUGGGGAAUAUUGGACAAUGGGCGCAAGCCUGAUCCAGCCAUACCGCGUGGGUGAAGAGGGCCUUCGGGUUGUAAAGCCCUUUUGUUGGGAAAGAAAAGCAGCAGGUUAAUACCCCGCUGUUCUGACGGUACCCAAAGAAUAAGCACCGGCUAACUUCGUG
rnacentral:rRNA from 1 species